rnacentral:tRNA from 1 species
GGGACAGUAGCUCAGGGGUAGAGUUCCAGGCUGUGGCCCUGAAGAGGCUGGUUCGACUCCAGCCUGUCCCU